rnacentral:rRNA from 1 species
AGAGUUUGAUCCUGGCUCAGGAUGAACGCUAGCGACAGGCUUAACACAUGCAAGUCGAGGGGCAGCAUAAAAGUAGCAAUACUUUGGUGGCGACCGGCGCACGGGUGAGUAACGCGUAUGCAACCUACCUAUCAGAGGGGAAUAACCCGGCGAAAGUCGGACUAAUACCGCAUAAAACAGGGACACCGCAUGGUGAUAUUUGUUAAAGAAAUUCGCUGAUAGAUGGGCAUGCGUUCCAUUAGGUAGUUGGUGAGGUAACGGCUCACCAAGCCGACGAUGGAUAGGGGAACUGAGAGGUUGGUCCCCCACACUGGUACUGAGACACGGACCAGACUCCUACGGGAGGCAGCAGUGAGGAAUAUUGGUCAAUGGGCGAGAGCCUGAACCAGCCAAGUCGCGUGAAGGAAGAAGGAUCUAUGGUUCGUAAACUUCUUUUGCAGGGGAAUAAAGUGCAGGACGUGUCCUGUUUUGUAUGUACCCUGAGAAUAAGGAUCGGCUAACUCCGUGCCAGCAGCCGCGGUAAUA